UAGACUGUGAGCAUGGUUACUGUAAGUCUCGUUGUGCUGAUAGCAUACAGUAUGACCUUGACUGACUCUAGCUUUCCGACGGUCGACACAAAAUACAGGAGUAACUCAGUGGGACAGGCAGCAUCUCUGGAGAGAAGGAAUGGGUGAUAUUUCGGAUCGAGACUAGUCGGCUUUCCGACAGUGGGUUUGGACAACUGCCAGCUUCUUAUUCAAUAAACUAGAAAGUAGCCAGAGAAGAAGCCAGCCUAUAUCUUGCAAGUUUUUUUUAAAUGACUGUUUGCUGCAGUCGGCAGUAAUAUUUAAAACAAAUUGGCAAUGUAAAGUAACCGUGUGUAUUGAGAUGGGAAUGGUGAUAAACUGGUUUUGCUUUUUUUUCUGGAGGAAAAAUUGUUCGUUUAGCAUGUGGCAUGCUGCCAGUUUGGCACCAUUUUUAAUGAGACAGAGAUAGUAGGAGGGACCAGACAGGGCGUGGUGAAUGACAGUUGAAGAAAGGUCUGUGAAUUGCUGCUCUCAGCUGUCUCCUCCACAAGAAAAGAGAAAGGGAGAGGGAGAAAGAGCACUAUUUCCUCCUGAGAAUACUUGAACUAUUGCAGAAUUCUGAGUGCUUUGGUUUUCAUGCCAAUGAUGUACUGGCAGCUGCGCUUAGCAUGAAAUAAAAUGUCACAGGCUGCAGUGGCAUGCAGCAGAUACACUGUACUGAUGAUUAAUGUUGGUAUAGUCUCCACUGUAAGACACUUUCAUUACUGUGAGAAGCACAUUGUACUCCUGGCAUUGUCGUAAGUGCAUUUUGGUAGACAUUGAAAUCCCAUCUCAAUUAACAAAAAAUUUAAAGUUCUCCUCUCCAGGCAACUUCUAUAGAAGUGAGUCCUACAUGGUAGCGUUUAGCAUUACAGAAGGAAUUUGCUUUUCUUUCCUUUUUAAACGAGCAAGACAAAGGUCCAGCCAGGCAGUGAGACCUAUAUUGGACACGCAACGUGCUUGAAACACAGAAGUAUAGCAGAAGUUUGGAGCACAAAGGCUGGAUGAAAAUAAUUGUCAGAUACUCAAUUAAAAAUUGUGGCAGAUAUGAGCUUUGACAGCCUGUUUAUUUCACAACAUAUCGACUUUUGCUGUGAUCCCUUUGGAAUAAAAUGAAGAAAGUAAGCAUUGUGUUCUGAUACAGUGAAACAUUUUAGAACAAUACGGCACUGGACCCUUCAUCAACACGGGGGCUACUUUUCUCACAACAGACAAUUUAAUACCCAGCCUUGCGUCUCAUCUGAAUUCCAAGUCUUAAAGAAAUAGAGAAAAUUAUAAGAGUUAGUAUGAUAAAUUAUGAACAUUUCUUAAUCCACUAUGAUCCAUAGUUUUGAAAGCAAAUGGUGGUUACAAUUUAUUAAAUGUUUGA